AGAGAAAUGCCCUCAGACGGACGAUUUUAAUCACAAUGUUCAUCAAUUUGUCUGUUUGUGUUUAGCCUGAACAAUAAUAAACUGGGGGAUUCAGGAGUGAAACUGGUGUCUGCGGCUCUGAGGAACCCGGAGUGUAAAAUACAGACACUGUGGCUGAGGGAUGUCGGUCUCACAGAUUCUGGUGCCGAGGAUCUCGUCUCCGCUCUCAGUACAAACCCAUCACUGACGGAGCUGGACCUGAGUGGUAAUAAACUGGGGGAUUCAGGAGUGAAACUGGUGUCUGCGGCUCUGAGGAACCCGGAGUGUAAAAUACAGAGACUGUGGCUGGGGGAUGUCGGUCUCACAGAUUCUGGUGCCGAGGAUCUCGUCUCCGCUCUCAGUACAAACCCAUCACUGACGGAUCUGGACCUGACAUUAAACUCUCUGACAGACCGAUCUGUCCCCGCUCUCCGCCGCCUCAUCCUGACCCUCCCGAGUCUGAAGUGGAUCUGGUGAGUGUUUGUGUUAAUGUUCAAUGUGAUAAAAUAUCAGCGGAUCCGCCGGUUUUCUGGUGAUAUUUGUCUGUGAGUGUUGUUGAAACAUUAACCCCGGUCCCCUGUUACUGACACUGUUGUGUGAUCUGUUUAUUUCAUCUUUAUUCUCCCAUCUGUUUCAGGCUGCGGGGGAAUCGGUUCAGUGAGACCGGGAUGAAGGAACUGAGAUCUCUACAGGAACCCAGACCCGGACUGAGAGUGGGUCUGUGAACAUCUGAAUGUGGGGAAUCGGUUCAGUGAGACCGGGAUGAAGGAACUGAGAUCUCUACAGGAACCCAGACCCGGACUGAGAGUGGAUCUGUGAACAUCUGAAUGUGGGGAAUCGGUUCAGUGAGACCGGGAUGAAGGAACUGAGAUCUCUACAGGAACCCAGACCCGGACUGAUGGUGGAUCUGUGAACAUCUGAAUGUGGUGAAUCGGUUCAGUGAGACCGGGAUGAAGGAACUGAGAUCUCUACAGGAACCCAGACCCGGACUGAUGGUGGAUCUGUGAACAUCUGAAUGUGGUGAAUCGGUUCAGUGAGACCGGGAUGAAGGAACUGAGAUCUCUACAGGAACCCAGACCCGGACUGAUGGUGGAUCUGAAUGUGUGAACAUCCCCGCCCGCGGGAUGGGGACAUUUGGCCGACUCCCCGCCCUCCCCUUUAACUCCCGCCCUUACCUUUAA